GUGGGUAUAGCUUAGUGGUAGAGCACAUGCUUAGCAUGCAGUAGGUCCUGGGUUCAAUCCUCAGUAUCUCCA
rnacentral:tRNA from 1 species